GGAAGCGGAUCGCGGGGAGUGAAGGCUGCGCCGCCGAGCCUGAGUUUCGCUCUCUCUAGAUUAAAUCUGCGCUUCGCAGUCCCCCUUCUUCCAUCCCCCGGGUCUGGAGGGGUCCCUACAGAUCUUAAAAUGACCACACCGCGCCCUCCACCCCAGAUUAACCUUUAAAGACUCAUGUGGCCUGAGGAAGAAGUCCAGAAGAGAAGAAAGAGGAGACAGGGAUGGCUCUUUCUCAAGGAAGGUUGACAUUCAGGGACGUGGCCAUCGAAUUCUCUCAGGAGGAGUGGAAAUGCCUGGACCCUGCUCAGAGGGCUUUGUACAGGGACGUGAUGUUGGAGAACUACAGGAACCUGGUCUCCCUGGGAAUCUCUCUUUCUGAAAUGAGUAUUACCUCCAUGUUGGGGCAAGGGAAAGAGCCCUGGACUGUGGAGAGUGAAGUGAAAAUAACAAAAACAUCAAGUGGUUGGGAAUGCAUCAAAGGUGUGAACACAGAACCAGAAUAGCAUGUGCACAUAUACACAGACGUUUCACAACUGGCAUUAUGUUUUGCUACUGUUUUAUUUACAAUGUAUCACAAGUUUUAUGCUUUAAUAAAAUUUAAUCAUAACUUC
rnacentral:lncRNA from 1 species